CACCUUUCAGGAUCGCACUUGGAGAGUUUCCAGUACUCUACCAGUCUUGGCUAUGGGAGGGACAGCCAAGCAGAGCCAUACUCUUUCUCUUCCUAGCUUGGGCAGUGGCUAGCCAGUGGAAGGCAAUCUGCUACAAGU